rnacentral:rRNA from 1 species
AUUGUACGCUGGCGGCAGGCUUUACACAUGCAAGUCGAACGGUAACAUAAAGAAGCUUGCUUCUUUGAUGACGAGUGGCUGACGGGUGAGUAAUGCUUGGGAAUUUAGCUUAUGGAGGGGGAUAACUACGGGAAACUGUAGCUAAUACCGCGUAAUAUCGAAAGAUUAAAGUGUGGGACCUUCGGGCCACAUGCCAUAGGAUGAGCCCAAGUGGGAUUAGGUAGUUGGUGAGGUAAAGGCUCACCAAGCCGACGAUCUCUAGCUGGUCUGAGAGGAUGACCAGCCACACUGGGACUGAGACACGGCCCAGACUCCUACGGGAGGCAGCAGUGGGGAAUAUUGCGCAAUGGGGGCAACCCUGACGCAGCCAUGCCGCGUGAAUGAAGAAGGCCUUCGGGUUGUAAAGUUCUUUCGGUAGCGAGGGAGCAUUUAGUUUAAUAGACUAGAUGAUUGACGUUAACUACAGAAGAA